UAAAGUUCUUUUCUAAGGGAAGAAGAAAGUGACGGUAUCCAACCAGAAAGUCACUGCUAACUACGUGCCAGCAGCCGCGGUAAUACGUAGGUGGCAAGCGUUAUCCGGAUUUAUUGGGCGUAAAGCGAGCGCAGGCGGUUGCUUAGGUCUGAUGUGAAAGCCUUCGGCUUAACCGAAGAAGUGCAUCGGAAACCGGGCGACUUGAGUGCAGAAGAGGACAGUGGAACUCCAUGUGUAGCGGUGGAAUGCGUAGAUAUAUGGAAGAACACCAGUGGCGAAGGCGGCUGUCUGGUCUGCAACUGACGCUGAGGCUCGAAAGCAUGGGUAGCGAACAG
rnacentral:rRNA from 1 species